UAGCAUGCUUGUCUGAGUGUCUGUGGACCCCACUCAGAGCACGUGAUGGUUGAUUGGAAUGUGAAGGCAUUCGUUGAUAGCAUCAGUAAUCGUGCAGCUGGAUCGUGUGGCUGUGAUGUUAAUGGCAUCUUGGCUUGAAUUGGUGAUAGUGUGAAUUGUGAUCUGAUUGUCAGAUCUGUUCCUCGCCUAUCUUUGGUAGUAAAAUGCUGAAGUUUUGUGUGAGAGAGAGAACUGAUCAAUUGAUAGCAACCAACACAACAUACCACUUUUUUACUAAACUGGCAUGUAACCAACUUCAGAUCUCAGAUCAAGCAAGAGGACCCGCCGAAUUUAAGCAUAUAAUUAAGCGGAGGAAAAGAAACUAACUAGGAUUCCCCCAGUAAGGGCGACUGAAGCGGGAAGAGCUCAAGAUGUGAAUCUGCACUUGUAUGAGUGCCGAAUUGUGGUCUGAAGACUGUGACAUUAUCUGCCGGGCCAAGUCCCUUGGAAAAGGGCAGCUGAGAGGGUGAGACUCCCGUCCGCCUGGUGGAAUGAGUCGCAAGUCAACGAGUCGAGUUGUUUGGGAUUGCAGCUCAAAGCUGGUGGUAAAUUCCAUCUAAAGCUGAAUAUUGGUGGGAGACCGAUAGCGUACAAGUACCGUGAGGGAAAGAUGCAAAGAACUUUGAAAAGAGAGUUAAAGAGUACCUGAAAUUGCUGAAAGGGAAGCGAAGGAAACCAGUGUGUUGAUUAGCCAUAUUUCCGUUGUCACUUGUGAUGACAGCGCUGUGACUGUCAGUGGUUCCGCUUGUUUGGCCCCGGUGGAAGAGCGCAGUC
rnacentral:rRNA from 1 species